rnacentral:rRNA from 1 species
CAGUCGCCGCGGGAAUACAGAGGGUGCAAGCGUUAAUCGGAAUUACUGGGCGUAAAGCGCGCGUAGGUGGUUUGUUAAGUUGGAUGUGAAAUCCCCGGGCUAAACCUGGGAACUGCAUCCAAAACUGGCAAGCUAGAGUAUGGUAGAGGGUGGUGGAAUUUCCUGUGUAGCGGUGAAAUGCGUAGAUAUAGGAAGGAACACCAGUGGCGAAGGCGACCACCUGGACUGAUACUGACACUGAGGUGCGAAAGCGUGGGGAGCAAACAGGAUUAGAUACCCCCGUAGUCCCUGUCUCUUAUAC